AAAGCUCAGAUGCAAAAGCCUCUAAACGCACCUCCGUCAAAAAAAGAGAUAAUUAUAUUAACCAAAUGCUGGCGGCAUGUCUUAUAUGUUCAUAAAAUACUUUUACUUAAAAUCUGCUUAAACCUGGCCUCGGGUCAUUCAGAAAUACCGUUUAUUGCUAGAAUUCUUUAAAAAGCUAAUUUACAAGAAAACAUGUCAGACGCACUUAGAGGGUUUUAGAUCUGAGCUUUCAUUCAAUUAGGGAAGCUUACUCUGAUUUACUGAAGUUUUAUGUGAUGUUAAAGUACCACAAUAUGUUUCAUCUAAGCUAACAGAGAAAGUUUCAUAUACUGUAAGCUAAUAGCCAACAUCUGUUAUGUAGGUCUAACUGUUACAAACCCACCAAUCACCACCACAAACUUUGAGACAAAAUCAACUAAAAAUGCAUCAGAAACUGAAGGCAGUAAGAUUUGGGUGUUAUACAGAGUCAUUAUAGUGAUUGUUGAGAUCAUAGCAUUCACUGCUCCUACUGUGAUUCUUCUUCAAAUGAUCUGUACAGGAAGAGCUGAAAACAGAAGAAGGACUCAGACCACCUAGAAGACACAGUGAUAUCAACAAUAUUAAAAUAAAACUCUCUUUUUACAAAUAGUAACAAUACAGUGAAAGUGUUGAUAGAUUUUAUAUGUAUGUGAGUAAUGUUUAAUCAAAAAGCAUAAUUGUCCGGGCAAUCUAUAUUGCAUAGCCUGCAUUAAAUAUGGUAACAGACAUGUCCAUACAAUUUGUGUAAGCUGAAUUGAGUCUUGUUGGUAACACUUUACUUGAAGGGGUGUUCAUAAGACUGAGAUGACAUAUUUCCAAUCAUGACAUGCUAUGAACAUGAAGGAGAUUUUAUGCACGUUUAUGACAACUGUCAUUAAGUGUCAUUCGUUCAAUUAUGUCAUUUUUAAUGCAAAAAUGAUGACAUUAUUUGAUAUGUCUUUGUUAUGACAACUUGACAUUAACCAAUACAUCAUAACUUGUCAUGACAACUUGACAUUACCAAGACAAGAUAACUGGCCACUUUUUACCAGGAAUACAAAUUAAAUUGGUCAUUAAAAUGUCUUAAGUGUUAAUACUCUGUCAAAUUGUUUUAUGACAGCGUUAUGAAUAUUUUUCUUGACCUCAACUACAGUGGUACAAAUACUGUAUAAGUUUGUCAUUAAAAUGUCACUAAGUGUUAAUACUCUGUCUAAUAGUUUUAUAAAAACAUCAUUAAUAUUUUCUUCAGUUUAUAUUUUUUUAAAGUUUCCUCCAUGCGUUUAACAAAUAAAAUCAAUCAUUCAAUAAUAAUAAUAAUAAUAAUAAUAACUAAAUAAAAUUGAUGAAAUUAUAUUUUAUUGCAUUGGGAGACCAAUUCACCUAAAAUUAAAUGAAAACAGUACAAUAUUGGGUUAAGCCAUACAGUGUUGGGUCCA